rnacentral:antisense_RNA from 1 species
CUUGACCGAGCCCAGCCACAGGGGUUCGCCGGCCGGCCGGUCCUGUCCGUAGGUGGCGAGCAGCGCCUGGGCCUC